AGCCUAAAGGUUUAUUUUAGGUGAUACCUGCCCAGUGCUAAUAAUUGUAAACGGCCGCAGUACCUUGACUGUGCUAAGGUAGCAUAAUAAUUUGGCUUUUAAAUGGAGUCGGGAAUGAAUGGGAUAAUGGGAUAAAGCUGUCUCUACUAUAAUAAAUUUAAUUUACUUAUUAGGUGAAAAUGCCUAAAUUAUAGAAAAAAGACGAGAAGACCCUAGGAGUUUUUACUAAAAAACUAUUUUUAGUUUUGCGUUUUUGUUGGGGCGACAGGGGAAGACUAUAUAACUUCCUUUUAAAAACUUGCCGACUAUGUAUGAAAGUUUAAACUACCCUAGGGAUAACAGCGUAAUUCUUUAUUGAGUUUGCGACCUCGAUGUUGGACUAGGAACUAGGUAGGCUAGCCGCCUAUCUAUAUUGUUCUGUUCGAACUAUGCUUCCUACAU
rnacentral:rRNA from 1 species